CAGUUUGAAAUUUGACGCCGAGCGCGGCGGAACGUGAGCGUUCUGCUCACGGCAAAGGCGGCCAUCGUCCGCCGCUGCUUCUGCUGGCGUCGCUGCAGCAGAGGCGGACAGAGCAGCCAUUAUCCUGCAGGAUGCUGCGACCUGAUCCCUGGGCCGUGCCAUGCAAUUAAUAUGGCUGCGAAUAAACGAAUAAAUAACUGGUCGAUUAGUACGAAAACAGAUUAAAAAAACUCGGUGCCAAAGUGUUCGAAAUGUAAAGGAAUUUUAAUCCUGAAAUGUUAUUAAAAAUACAACUUUAAAAACGUUUAGUUAAAAUGGAUUUAAGGCUGCACCCUCCAGCGUAUUCGAAACAGGACACACGAACUAUGUCGGAGCAUCUGCCACAUCGGAACCCCCCUCCCCCCACCCCCUCUCCGGGCAUUACUCAGCAGUCUUAGCAGGGCUUAGUGAUGAAUCAUCGCCACCAUCGUUACCGAUUCACCGAUUCACCGAUUCGGAGCAGGGACACCAAGAAGGCUUAAACUGGCGCCCAACUUCCACCGGCGACGGCGAUCCAGGCCUCGCACCUAUUUUAUCGACGCGAAGAAAGUGCCGUAAUCCGCCGGCAAUCAAUUAGAUACAAGCGCACUAAGCACUCCCAAAGACAUCGCAGCCGUAUCUUAUCUUAUCGCCGCUUCUUCCGAUAAGGUCGGGCAUUACUUUCCGUCCUCUGUUUUUUUUUUUUUUCGGACUACUGCCUAAUCUCGGGGCACUCGCUGAGGUCUUGGCUUCAGUUGGUUUCCAGAGGCGAGGGCGAAGACAUCACGGAGCUGGCUACUCCGGCGGCAAGGCGUUCGUGACUUUCGGGCGAGGAAUACGGACACGGACACGGACACGGACACGGAGACCUCGCGAAUGCCUCCAUUUAAUUGGCAGGCCAUGGCGAGCUUUGUAAUCACAUUUAUAGGUCAUUUCAUAAUUUUCAAGAGGAAUAAAGGAAACGGUUGUAUAGUGGCCAGCCAUCGUCGCAUCACGUGUGGCACGAUAAAUAUAAUUUACCCGAGGCGCAUGUAAUUGCCGCGCUGCCCAAAUUACCCCGCCCUGUACAUACACAUGGUAUAUGUUUAUUAACAUUUUCACUUUUUUGCAGCCGUGAUUGCUCACCUCAGUUCAUUUCGCCGCUGCGACUGCUCCCCUUCAGUUUGCUCCACGUCUACCCUGUAGAUCCGAAUUUGUUUUACAUUAGCUUUAAGGACAAAUUCGGUUCUAGAGAGGUUUGUGUGGUUCAAUAUCCAGCGAAAUAGCAUGAUUUCAAAUGAAGCCGAAAUCAAGUGACAAAGUGAAUUUCAAAAUUGAUUUAAUAAGUGAAUAUUCCUCAAAACAAUUAGUUGUAUGUGUUUACCAACGAAUAAGUGGUUAAGAUUAAGUUAAGUUACUUAUGUAUGUAAAUUACGAUAGACUUCUACGAGAUUGUGAAAUGAAGACCAGAAAAUUUGAAAAUAACAAUAUGAAAUGAAAAUGUAACCACCAACUACAAUAACAAUUUAAUAAUUCGUUUAAUUCCAUUAUGACUCACUUCAAACAAAUAACACUAAUUACUGUUGCCAAGUAAUAAUAUUCCAUAGCUUACCAUAAAAUCCAUGAUAAUAAAUUGCUGUCUUGACACAAUUUUUUGGCUUACUAUAAUAGAUAAGAGUACCGCGUAUUAAAGUUUCACUUUUCAAUGCCAAUGAUUCAGAGACGAAGGAGUUUAAAAAUUGUACUGCUCUUGUUGACACCACACAAGCUUAAAUAUAACACAUUAAAUAUAAAACAGGAACUAUUUAUUAAUAAAGCGUGGAUGACUGAUCGAAUUUUCUGGCAACAAAAAAAAAUAUUUUCAUGUUAAACUUUUUUAUCAUAUCUACCUUAUCGUAUUUUUGCUUACUAAUGUUGCGUUAAAAUACAAAUCUUGUAACAAACACUGUAUAAAUUCAUAAGAAUAUUAAAUAAAUAUAUAUAUACAGCUUAAGAACAUACUUUAAUGAAAAAGUAAACGUGUCAAUGAAAAAAAAUGUUAAAUUUAAUACUUUUGUAUCACUUUCAAAAGGAUAAAAUAUCACAGCGGUGUAAAUAAAGAUUAAGAUAAAUGAAGUGGACUUAAAUUAUUUAAUGCUGGUGUAAACGUUUCAGUGUU